rnacentral:rRNA from 1 species
AACGACGCUGGCGGCAGGCUUAACACAUGCAAGUCGAACGCCCCGUAAGGGGAGUGGCAGACGGGUGAGUAACGCGUGGGAAUCUACCCAAUUCUUCGGAAUAACUGAGGGAAACUUCAGCUAAUACCGGAUACGCCCUACGGGGGAAAGAUUUAUCGGAAUUGGAUGAGCCCGCGUGAGAUUAGCUAGUUGGUGGGGUAAUGGCCUACCAAGGCGACGAUCUCUAGCUGGUCUGAGAGGAUGAUCAGCCACACUGGGACUGAGACACGGCCCAGACUCCUAUGGGAGGCAGCAGUGGGGAAUAUUGGACAAUGGGCGAAAGCCUGAUCCAGCCAUGCCGCGUGAGUGAUGAAGGCCUUAGGGUUGUAAAGCUCUUUCAGUAGGGAAGAUAAUGACGGUACCUACAGAAGAAGCCCCGGCUAACUUCGUG